AGUGAACGCUGGCGGUAGGCCUAACACAUGCAAGUCGAACGGCAGCACAGUAAGAGCCUGCUCUUACGGGUGGCGAGUGGCGGACGGGUGAGGAAUACAUCGGAAUCUACUUUUUCGUGGGGGAUAACGUAGGGAAACUUACGCUAAUACCGCAUACGACCUACGGGUGAAAGCAGGGGAUCUUCGGACCUUGCGCGAUUGAAUGAGCCGAUGUCGGAUUAGCUAGUUGGCGGGGUAAAGGCCCACCAAGGCGACGAUCCGUAGCUGGUCUGAGAGGAUGAUCAACCACACUGGAACUGAGACACGGUCCAGACUCCUACGGGAGGCAGCAGUGGGGAAUAUUGGACAAUGGGCGCAAGCCUGAUCCAGCCAUACCGCGUGGGUGAAGAAGGCCUUCGGGUUGUAAAGCCCUUUUGUUGGGAAAGAAAAGCAGCAGGUUAAUACCCCGCUGUUCUGACGGUACCCAAAGAAUAAGCACCGGCUAACUUCGUG
rnacentral:rRNA from 1 species